GAAAUUCGGGCUAAAAUAGGGAAAAUACCAAGUUGUGGACGAAAUGGUAAAAAUAGCCAUUUUCGCAUACGAGUGUUGACAAGCCAGCUCGGAAAUCGGAAACGGUCGGAGGCACGCUCACACUAUCCGUAUACCAUCUUGGCAUAAUGGCUUGUAUAUUUUGAGUAUGGCAUGUAUAGCAUUAUAAUCAUUUUAUAUGUAUGGUCUUAUGAUAUGGUUAUUGAGUGGUAUGGAAAUAGAAA